ensembl:misc_RNA Metazoa_SRP Metazoan signal recognition particle RNA
GCCGGGUGCGGUGGCGCGCGCCUGUAAUCCAAGUUACCGGGAGGCUGAGGCUGGAGGAGCGUUUGAGCUCAGGAGCUCUGGGCUGCAGCGGACUAUGUCGAUCGGGUGUCCGCACUAAGUUCGGUAUCGAUAUGGUGCUCCGGGGGGAGCCCGGGAUCACCAGGUCGUCUAAGGAGGGGUGCACCGGCCCAGGUCGGACACGGAGCAGGUCAAAGCCCCCGUGAAUAGACGCUGUAAGACAGCGGGACCCAGUCUUUAUGCUGCCACUAUACACACCACCUCAUCCUUUA